GGGGCAGCAUGGUGUAGCAAUACACUGAUGGCGACCGGCGCACGGGUGAGUAACGCGUAUGCAACCUACCCAGUACAGGGGGAUAGCCCGGAGAAAUUCGGAUUAAUACCCCAUAAUGAUAUUGAAUGGCAUCAUUUAAUAUUUAAAGUUUCGGCGGUACUGGAUGGGCAUGCGUGACAUUAGCUAGUUGGUAGGGUAACGGCCUACCAAGGCUGCGAUGUCUAGGGGUCCUGAGAGGGUGAUCCCCCACACUGGUACUGAGACACGGACCAGACUCCUACGGGAGGCAGCAGUGAGGAAUAUUGGUCAAUGGGCGUAAGCCUGAACCAGCCAUCCCGCGUGAAGGAAGACGGCGCUAUGCGUUGUAAACUGCUUUUCCAGGGAAAGAAAACCCCCGACGUGUCGGGGCUUGCCGGUACCCUGGGAAUAAGCAUCGGCUAACUCCGUGCCAGCAGCCGCGGUAAUACGGAGGAUGCGAGCGUUAUCCGGAUUUAUUGGGUUUAAAGGGUGCGUAGGCGGAUUAAUAAGUCAGUGGUGAAAACCUUCAGCUUAACUGGAGACUUGCCAUUGAUACUGUUAGUCUUGAGUACGGUCAAGGUAGGCGGAAUGUGUAAUGUAGCGGUGAAAUGCUUAGAUAUUACACAGAACACCGAUUGCGAAGGCAGCUUACUGGACCAAUACUGACGCUGAGGCACGAAAGCGUGGGGAGCGAACAGGAUUAGAUACCCUGGUAGUCCACGCCGUAAACGAUGAUCACUCGCUGUUAGCGAUACACAGUUAGCGG
rnacentral:rRNA from 1 species